AUUGAACGCUGGCGGCAGGCCUAACACAUGCAAGUCGAGCGGGGUUUUCGGACCUAGCGGCGGACGGGUGAGUAAUGCGUAGGAAGCUACCCGAUAGAGGGGGGUGCCAGUUGGAAACGACUGUUAAUACCGCAUAAUGUCUACGGACCAAAGUGUGGGACCUUCGGGCCACAUGCUAUCGGAAGCGCCUACGUGGGAUUAGCGAGUUGGUGAGGUAAUGGCUCACCAAGGCGACGAUCCCUAGCCGGUUUGAGAGGAUGAUCAGCCACACUGGAACUGAGACACGGUCCAGACUCCUACGGGAGGCAGCAGUGGGGAAUAUUGGGCAAUGGGCGCAAGCCUGAUCCAGCCAUGCCGCGUGUGUGAGAAGGCCUUCGGGUUGUAAAGCACUUUCAGUAGGGAGGAAGCGUUGUGUGUUAAUAGUACACGGCGUUGACGUUACCUACAGAAGAAGCACCGGCUAACUCUGUGCCAGCCGCCGCCGUAACAC
rnacentral:rRNA from 1 species